GGUGACGUAGCACAAGGGUAGUGCGUCGGUCCAAUGGCUGCAGUUCUUCUGCGACUUAAUGCAGUCAGUAAAUCGGAUAUCCCGGUUCGACCCCGGGCGGCAUCA
rnacentral:tRNA from 1 species